AUACGGAGGAUCCGAGCGUUAUCCGGAUUUAUUGGGUUUAAAGGGUGCGCAGGCGGCCAUUUAAGUCAGCGGUUAAAUCGUGGGGCUCAACCCCAUUCUGCCGUUGAUACUGGGUGGCUUGAUUGCGGUCGAGGUUGGCGGAAUUCGUUGUGUAGCGGUGAAAUGCAUAGAUAUGACGAAGAACACCGAUUGCGUAGGCAGCUGACCAGACCGCAAAUGACGCUCAUGCUCGAAAGUGCGGGGAUCGAACAGGAUUAGAUACCCUGGUAGUCCGCACAGUAAACGAUGAAUACUUGUUUUCGGCGAUAUAAUGUCGGAGGCAAAGCGAAAGCGAUAAGUAUUCCACCUGGGGAGUACGCCGGCAACGGUGAAACUUAAAGGAAUUGACGGGG
rnacentral:rRNA from 1 species